rnacentral:lncRNA from 1 species
GAUGUUAAUACUACUCUGUAACAUUUCUUUAUUUUAAAAUUUGUUUAACAAAGUAUUUAUUGUAACGAGAUUGGUAAAAAAGUAUCCUUUUCCUUUUUCUAUAGUAGUUUGAGAGAUUUCGUAGUUAACAAGAAAGUCAAUAGGCAGCCACAACACAACGAGGCGAGGGUUACACAGAGGAAGGUAGGGAACCUAACCCAGGUUGGGAGGGUCGAUUCGGAAAGACUUGGGAAGGAAUGCCAUCCAAGCUACAACCUGGGGGAAACAUGGGCAGCGCAGGAGGUGAGGGGCUGCGGGUGGGCCAGGGGUGGGGCAGCAGUAUUUCCCUAAGAAAGUAAGGGGCGCUUGUGUUACGUGUGUUGGGGGAACGUGGUAAAGACCCUGUAAACCAUGUUCGUGAGUCUGGACCUCAUCCCGAGGAAAGGCGGAAUCAGAACCGGAGUUGAGCAGCAGGCAAGAGCAGGUCCUAGGAGACAGGGCGAGGAAUCUGGCGUCUGUACGUAAUUGGUAGAAGCUCGAAUUCUUUACAAGAUGGUUUCUCCCCCACGUGAUGCCUUUCCUUCUCACUGGGCCUCCCGUUUGUGCCUUGGCCGCCUGCCCCACGCAGAUGGGGCGCGGUGCUAACUGCUGUCCCCUGGCGGCCGCCGGGGCCCCUGCCGCCCCGAGUGUGUCCCAGGCUCCCUGCCUCUUCCAGCCGCAGCGCCCCUCUGUCCCUCGGGCAGUCCCAGCUCGCCACUGUGAAGGCCCUGCCCAUGUGGUUUCUCCCUUUAGUCUCCUUGCUGUGCCAAAAGCCCUCUGCUGUGGCCUCGGGGGAUUCCGAGACGCUGAGUCACACGCGGGGCCUCUGACGCUGCGACUGACUCGGUUCCUCUGCCGGCGGCGUGCAGGGGGCUCUGCCUGCGCAGCAGCGUUUUCGCACAGAGCGUCUUGGAAGAGAGGAGAGCUGACCCUGGGCUUUCCUCCCGAGUGCGGCCUGAGAGGGAGGGCGGGGCUCGCGCUAAGAAUCAGAGGGUUUUCAUCGCGGCUCAGGCUGCUGAGUUUUACCCUUCUCAAAGGUGCCACAGCAUGGCUUUAUCAGCAGGGUGUAGGUCCAUACCCGGGAUCCAGGCCUGCAAACCUUGGGCUUCUGAAGCAGAGCGCACGAACCUAACCACUAUGCCACUGAGCCGGCCCCAGGAGAAUGUGUCUUGAUGCUCCCUCAAUUCCUAUUCUGAGUCUUUAAAGCCAUAUUAAAUAAUUAUAGAUUUUUGAAAUCUUCCUUUGCAUGUUACUGUAUGAAUGUUGAGUAGCUAAAGCACUGAAAACAUUAUUUAACAUAAUUAUUUUUACUGUGUUUCAAAAUGAGACUGGAGAAAUAAAAGACAGGUCAUGGGUAUCAUUC